rnacentral:lncRNA from 1 species
UAGUGGGUUUUGUCCACAAAUUGAAGGCAAACAGAACAAACAGAACAGAAUGCACAAAGUUUAGGUUCUUGGUAAACAACCAAUCUUUUCCAUAAACAACAAACUUUAUGAUACCAGAAUCAACUAAAUCUUCACAUUGUAUUUGUAGCAGAAAAGACAAUGGCGACAGCGUAAUCAUUGCCUAUAGCUUGGAAGCAGUGAGGUGAUAGAAGGUUGAGCGAGCAGUAUACAUUAGCUUCCCGGUUUUCUUCUGCCGGAACUCCAUUGAAACCACCGUCAAGUUCCUUCCGCUCCUCACCACAUUAACCAAUCUUUUCCAUAAACAACAAACUUUAUGAUACCAGAAUCAACCAAAUCUUCACAUUGUAUUUGUAGCAGAAAAGACAAUGGCGACAGCGUAAUCAUUGCCUAUAGCUUGGAAGCAGUGAGGUGAUAGAAGGUUGAGCGAGCAGUAUACAUUAGCUUCCCGGUUUUCUUCUGCCGGAACUCCAUUGAAACCACCGUCAAGUUCCUUCCGCUCCUCACCACAUUAACCAAUCUUUUCCAUAAACAACAAACUUUAUGAUACCAGAAUCAACUAAAUCUUCACAUUGUAUUUGUAGCAGAAAAGACAAUGGCGACAGCGUAAUCAUUGCCUAUAGCUUGGAAGCAGUGAGGUGAUAGAAGGUUGAGCGAGCAGUAUACAUUAGCUUCCCGGUUUUCUUCUGCCGGAACUCCAUUGAAACCACCGUCAAGUUCCUUCCGCUCCUCACCACAUUAACCAAUCUUUUCCAUAAACAACAAACUUUAUGAUACCAGAAUCAACCAAAUCUUCACAUUGUAUUUGUAGCAGAAAAGACAAUGGCGACAGCGUAAUCAUUGCCUAUAGCUUGGAAGCAGUGAGGUGAUAGAAGGUUGAGCGAGCAGUAUACAUUAGCUUCCCGGUUUUCUUCUGCCGGAACUCCAUUGAAACCACCGUCAAGUUCCUUCCGCUCCUCACCACAUUAGCCUCAACCGUCAGCGUCUCCUGCAUCAACGACCACCAA